GGGCUGUACAAAAGAAAAAAAACACUUGUAGAGGGCACGAGAGCAUGGGACAGAUGCAGAAGAUACUCAGGGUGAACCAACUGUGCAGAUUGCUUCUUCUUCCUGUAUACAAGAAAUCAUGGAUUUCACCUCAUUAUUCCCUUGAACUUCACAGAAGAACAUGAAGCAAUAUGACAAACUCAAGCAUGAAAUAUGAAACGGAUGAAGCAUAUCAGAGCAUGGGAAAAUAACUCCUGAUGAAGUUCUGGAUUACACUGUUACAGGUAAGGGGGUAGAAGUAAAACAAACAAACAAAUAAACACUAAAUGACCUUCCAUGAUUGUUCUUCUAUCCCAGGAAUGGUGUCUCCUCCACUCCAAGGGAAAGGCAGAAUAAUAGGAGUAGGCCUACCUGCUUAAUAUGGUCUGUCUGCACACUCCACUUGCAUCUGAGAUCUAACUAGUUACAGCCACUGUGCCAUCCCCUUUUUAUUAAAAGAAUAAAAUCUUCCUACGCCAGUACCACUCCCAACACCAGAAUUGUUUGGCUAAUUAUUCACCCAGUGUACAUACAAACUUCACGUUGCUGGGAUGCUUUGUGAUGAAAUAUGUGACUUGUCAACCCUUCAUCUCCAUAAAACUGAUCCAGAUGAUCAAAGUAUGACUCUUCUGAGUCCUGUGGGGAGCUCCCAGACUGCUUUUGCAGAGAGACGUGCUGCUGUUGUAGAGAUGAAUGCAGAGUGAGGAAAGCAUGCAGCUUCUAUUUUGGUAAUAAGUGGUUCAGUAAUGUGUGGUUUGAUGGCGUAUUUUUCACACCAGAGCAGCCCCACUGGGCACAAAGCUCAAAAGAAACAGUAGUGCAAGUCCUCAGAAAGAAAAAGUCAGGAAAAUAAAUAUCACAUUAGGCAGAGCAAUUAAGUGGCUGCUAUAUAUGUAUUCUACUGCUAUAUGCUGAAUAGGAAUUGAGCAGCUAAAGAACAUAAGUGUUCAGUUUUAAAAGCAGUCUUUCUUCGGUUGGAGUUAUAAUGGCAUAUUUAUAAAUAGAAGUUCUGGUCUUUUAAUGUUAUUCCCAUGGAGAGGUGCUAAACAUAUGCACCCCACAUUGCAACUCUUCAACUUGGCCUUGAGUUUUAAACUGUAUUCUUAAAUAUAAACAAUAAUAAUGGUCCAUUGAAAACAGUUUUAAAGAUCUAUGAUCCACACUGUCUGCCUAAAGGAAGAUGGGGAAAUUAAAAACUGAAAGAGAGAAAUAUUUCAGUAAUAAAAGCUACAGCAGAGCAGACAAUAAAUGGAGUGCAGCCUUUCAACUCUUUAAAGCUGCAUCGUGUCGCAGUCUAUUCAACUGCAUAUCAGCACAAACUUUAUGUACAGCAAACACGUCCUUUGUGUGUCACAAAGUAUGAAUGUACACGUGAGAGUCUCACAUAGUUCUGUAUCAAAAGCACAGAAAAAAUAAACUCUGAAAAACAAUGUUAUAGAAUGCUUGCUCUGGAAAAUUACUAUCAGAGACAAAACAAAUCCACGCCAGAACACAGCCCUGUGGCAUUACAGUAUCCCUCGGGCAAAUGGGGAAAGAUAACCCUUCAUGCAGCCAGACUACCAGCACUGGCACACAGACCAACAGACACUUCAGCAGAGUGUGGAAAGCAUCAGUGAUCCGUCAGGCCUUGAGCAGUCAUGUGUAAUAAAGCUCAUCUGUUACAGGUACCUACCUGUGCUGCGUAGCUAGGGACAGACAGUAUUUUCUUAUUGCUAAAAAUACAUCCUUUCCCUCUUCAAAAUGACAGAAGUAUAACUUUGCCUGACCUAUUUUUCAUCCUUAUUCAUUCCGUGGAAAUCUUGUAAAAUUGACACCUAAUUUCCAGGUGCUGUUGCUUAGCUUUCUAAAUUAUUAAUAGGAGUGUAAUAAUUAUCCCUUUUUAUCAUUACACGAUACAGCCAAUAGAUGCAAAGAGUGCAAUCACAUCACCACCCUCAUAUCUGAGCACGUUUACAAUAUCAGAAGAUCCCUCUGCCAUUGUUAAUUAAUACGCUGUAUUACAAAGAUGCACUUUAUGUUAUGAACUAAUUAUGUAUUAAGCUGAUCUCACAUAAUUGUGUCAGCAGAGAUCCAGGGUAGAGCACAAAAUUUGGUACAUAUUUGGAAAAUAUGGACCAAAAUCUAGGAUGCCUGUCACGGUAGCCACCGUAGCUCUUUUCUCAAGUGACAAGUGAUAGGGCAUGAGGAAAAGGCCUCAGGUUGUGCCAGGCGAGGUUCAGAUCAGGUAUUGGAAGAAUUUCUUCACGGAGAGGGAAACCAAGCAUUGGAACAGGCUGCCCAGGUCAGGGGGGAGGCCCAGUCCCUGAAGGCAUUCAGGAGAUGUGUAAACAUGGCACUAGGGCACAUGGGUUAGUGGUGGGAUGCAGUACAUUCAGUUGAUGGUUGGACUCAGUGAUCUGUAAGGUCUUUUCCAACCCAGGUGGUUCUGUGAUUUGGUUAGUGCAUUCAAGAGUGGUGUCAGGUGGAGCCAGAAGGCUUCAAUGCGUGGGGUGCACUUUGUGUACCAAUCCUGACGUGGGUUUAGAAAGAAGAAAUGAGAUGCGCGGAGAAGAAGUGAGACUGGUUAUGGGGAGUGUAAGGGAACUACUGAGGAGUGGAAAAACUUAACACAUCUUCUAAAUGUUCAGAAUUAUUUCGUAAGUGAAAACAGGGGAUAUUUCCAUGUCACGGCAUCUUUACAGCUAUACUUGUACCAGCAAAGCUAUGUCAGCAGAGUUCCCUAUUAGCAACACAACCAACAUGAGAGCUUUUCUGCUGUCCUGUCUCCCAAGUCCAAUGCCAGACAUCCUCAUCUAGCCCUUCUGGUUGAGUGGGCUGAAGAAGUUCUGACUCUCAGUUGUCCAUCAGAAUCUGCCAGCUGUGAAUUACACAGCUGGGCACACAAAGUAAAUCCUGUGAGCGCUCUCAUUUGCUUUGAACAAAGCUUCUAAACACUUUCAUCAGCACUUUAUAUCACUCCACUGGACCUUGCCUCAAAUGUGCUAGGGCACAGUAUCUUCUGCCUGCAAAUAGAGAGGGUUGCAGCCUCCAUAACAAAAGCAGUAAUAAGCCACAAGUGGACACUAAAGUCACAACUAUUGGCAGUAUGAAUGUCUUGGCAUGGCCUGAUCAGUAUCAGUCGAGGUAACAAAAGCACUUGCUGGUCAAUAGCGGUGCAUCUACACUUGUAACUUUUUCUGACACAGCUUUCAGCAGACAUUUGUAGUACCAAAGCUUGAGAUCACAGCCCCUGCUGGAUUUAGCUCUAUCUCCUAGAGACGUUUUUGCUCCCAGAGCUGUGAGGUAUAGAAAUGUUCAGCCACCGUAACUAAAUUCAACAGAGAUUGUUAAAUGGAGCUCCUCACUACCAGAAUGCGCAUCUCACAAAGCUCAGCUCACUGAUUUUACAAGGUGCUCAUCCAGAGAAACAACCCACCUGCUGCCUUUGCUCUGCAUCAGCCACCCUCUGGGAGAGAGGCAAUGAAGACAAGUCAGGGCAGAAACCUCCUAAGUGAUCACUGCACACGUGGCCGACCUUCAAGAGAUCAGGCUCUAGAGCGAGCCAGCUGUGGGAAAAUCAGGUAUUUAGCAAAACACUAAGAAGAUAAAUCAGCAUGAGAUAUGGGGAGUCUGGUUGCAGGUGGAAAACAGGGAACUGGAGCCCAGCUAAGAGGUGGGACAAAGAACAACUAAUGAGUACCAAGCAAUCUGGACAACUGCUUUCGCCCUCCUGCUGCCCUGCCCAUCUGCUUGGAAUUUGUUUUCAAAAUAAGCUCUAUUUGCCCGAUUCCUGUCCUGAUCCAAACUCGCAUAUUGUGGAUCUGGUGCUGUCACUCAAAAUCGCUAACAAAAGAAAUGCUGAAUUGAGAAACAAAGAGAAACUUCUUGUUUAACACACGCUGAUAAAUUUCCUUUAACUCAUUCAGGUCUGGCUGGUUUAUCACAGACAUUUAAAGACAACAACGACGUUAUAUGACUAACUGUUACAAAUUCAUCACAAGUCCUGCCCGUGUCUGACAUUUAAGUCCAAACAACCACACACUGUUGCAGAACCCCCUCCCCACCCCCAUGAAAUUCAU